UACGUAGGGGGCAAGCGUUGUCCGGAUUUACUGGGCGUAAAGAGCGUGUAGGCGGCCAUGCAGGUCCGUUGUGAAAACUGGAGGCUUAACCUCCAGACGUCGACGGAAACCGCGUGGCUAGAGUCCGGAAGAGGUGAGUGGAAUUCCUAGUGUAGAGGUGAAAUUCGUAGAUAUUAGGAAGAACACCAGUGGCGAAGGCGGCUCACUGGUCCGGUACUGACGCUGAGGUGCGAAAGCGUGGGGAGCGAACAGG
rnacentral:rRNA from 1 species